AAAGAACAUUCAGGAGAAGACAGAGGUCAACAGUGUCAGAUGCUUCAGAGAGGGACAGAACUUGAACUUUGGUCGUGCCAACUCCAAGACAUACUGACUCUAUUUUCUACUUUUUAAAGAUUUUUUUGAACCACCCCAUUAACAAGACUCCAUCAGUUCUUUCUCUGGAGAUGGAUAGCAUUUUUCAUAAGUCCUUCGGAAUUGUC